rnacentral:rRNA from 1 species
GAUGAACGCUGGCGGCGUGCUUAACACAUGCAAGUCGAACGAUGAAGCCGGAGCUUGCUCCGGUGGAUUAGUGGCGAACGGGUGAGUAACACGUGAGCAAUCUGCCCUUGACUCUGGGAUAACUGCGGGAAACUGUAGCUAACACCGGAUACGACACCUUGGGGCAUCCCAGGGUGUGGAAAGAAUUUCGGUCAAGGAUGAGCUCACGGCUUAUCAGCUAGUUGGUGAGGUAAUGGCUCACCAAGGCGACGACUGGUAGCCGGCCUGAGAGGGUGACCGGCCACACUGGAACUGAGACACGGUCCAGACUCCUACGGGAGGCAGCAGUGGGGAAUAUUGCACAAUGGGCGAAAGCCUGAUGCAGCAACGCCGCGUGAGGGAUGAAGGCCUUCGGGUUGUAAACCUCUUUUAGCAGGGAAGAAGCGAAAGUGACGGUACCUGCAGAAAAAGCACCGGCUAACUACGUGCCAGCCGCCGCGGUAA